rnacentral:misc_RNA from 1 species
GGAUAAUGUUGUCCUGUCACACAAAAAAUAAGUGAAAGAUAGAAUAAAGUGAGUAAACAUAUGUUAAAUUUCUAUCUAAUAAAUUCCAAAAGCACUACUUUCACAUUAAAUUCUUCAGAUUAAUUUAAAAAACUCCAUCACAGUAAAUAUGGCUUUAAGAGCCAUCAUUCACUUCACCCAUAAACAAAAUUGGCAAAAACAUUUUUACAAAAAUCAAACAAAUUCACAUGAGUGCAAAUAUUCUCAAAGUUACAGGAGCACAAAGCAGGAAUGUCAGAAGUUCAUUCUGAAACCAACAAAAAAAGAAGUCUACAUCUUUUAAUGAUAACUUUGCCCCCUGCUACUCCGCUACAUUGUGCUAGGAUAAUGCAAAAGAUUUUGCAUGCCAAGAGAAGAUUUUACAGUAUUCAGGCUACACACAAAUUACUGUUAGGACUUCUAAUUAAUCAGGAAAUGAAAACAAUGUACCUCUAGUAUCCCAGGACUUUGCA